CGUCUAGGGAUGAGGUUCAACCCACUCGUGAGGACCAUCUCCACUACGAGGAAGAGGGCUACCGAGGAACUGCAAAACACCGACCGCCGAGUCAAACUCCGCCUGGUCUAGCCUCGAGUAGUGGUUGAUUGGAGGCGGGGCGUCGAAGGCAGCGUCUAAGGGAAGACUUCGAAGGCUGUAGCCACCACCCGAGGAGCCGAGGAAGGCUUGGUUGGACACACGGCACCACGUUUAGAUGUUCCGCAGUUGUGCUACCAAUUAAAGAGACCUGUUCUUCGAGCUACUUGUUCUUCGUGAAGUAGAUCUCCGUUGAUAACACACGGUAGUUCUAUCGUUGCAGCUAGAUCAAGAAUUACCGUUACGAACGAGUCACUACUAAUAGUAUCAGGAACUCUGAAUCGUAUCGGGCGGUACAUACUUUCAACUUCGUUAAAAGCGAUCGUUAAGAACAACUAGAACAGUCCAAUAA
rnacentral:rRNA from 1 species